AAUCCAAAUUUUAACAUAAAUUUUAGCUAGAAUAAUCAGGUACAAAACAGAGCAAAGCAGAAUACAGGCGAGUAGCCUCUGGAGAUACCCUGUUUGGCAUGCAGUCAUCUUGGGCUUACAUAAACACUGACAUCUUCAGAGCAAAUUUUGAAAUUUCUGCUUCAAGGAUCUCCUAAACCGACGCAACUGUCGCCAGUGUCAGUAAUUUUUUAGGUGAAUAUAAGCAUAAGCAUAAGCGAAUCUACUGGUUGAAAAUAUGCCCAUUUGAUUUUGCCGGGAACAGCUGAUUUUUGUGGAUCUAUGACAUUUCGUCGAAAGGCAUUUGGUCGAAUGACGUUUGGUCGAAUGACGUUUGGUCGAAUGACAUUUGGUCGAAAGUACAUUUGGUCGAACGAACGUUUGGUCGAAUGGACAUUUGGUCGAAACCCAUAUUAUGGAGUAGGAAACAUAUGACAUUUAGUCGAACGGACAAUUCGUCGAAUGGACAUCUGGCGAAAGGCACUAACUGAUGAAAAGACACUGGACCAGUCGAUGACAAAAACCGCUAGAUAAGAGGUAUGUACUUAGCAGGUAGUGCAGUCCGCGGACUGUUGUCUCUCCGACCUCAGCCAGCUUGAGGAGGUACGUUCCGAAUACUCAAUAGGAAGAUGCGUACUCAAGAUGGUAGCCCCUUGAGCGCCAUGUAGGCAGAGCAGCCCGGUAAGGAAGCCUGCUUAGAACCUUCAACUACCUGAAAAAGCAAAACUAGAGAAAACGGAUUGAUUUAACAGCAACAGACCAGGCAACGAUUUAAGGAUAACGAUUCUAAAAUCAAAUCUUGGAACAUGAGAACUUUAAUUCAAUCCACACGUUUUGCGCACCUGGCUCGUGAACUGCAGAAUGCCGACGUUAAUGAGGCUACUAUCCGCAGAUCACCGGAAAAAACUUUCGUUGAAGCUGUCAUUGGAAAACUUUUAUUUCGUUGCCAACAAUAUUGUUUUGCGGCUUGUAGCUUUGGCUGCUAGAGCAAUGUAAAUCAGCAGUACCUAUUUACAUCGUAGGUUAGAAUUUCCGAAAACACACCUAGCGAUACCCGAGUGAUGAUACUUGCUUGCAGAUUGAUACUACCAUACGAGCAUAACAUGAAAAUAGGGACGCAUUUAAACGCGUUCAAGUUUAAACUCGGCACGCUGCGAUCAGAAAUAUUUAAAAAUUCUUCAGUUGGAAGUUGGUACGCGAGCGAAGUCUAAAUUGAACGCAGAUACAUAAUUAGGGCAUUCGCAAAAUGCCUGCAUGAUACCCCGGUAUCCUCAAAACUGAGAUGGUCAUAUAUCCGCAAUUUUUUCAAAGAUUUGAAUAAUCUUGGGAUUCGAUUCAGAAACUUAUCUUUUAUUGGGAGCAUAUCCGAGUGAACCGGUUUGAUUACCGUGGUUUUCGGAAAAUCCUGAUUUCCAGGAACAUGUUCGGCAUGUCAGCUACAAUAAUCAUCAAAGAUCAUAAACCAAUAGUCUAGUCUUGUCAUCAAUCUAUUGGUUGGCUAUUCCAGAAAAAAAUCUCAAAAUGUCAUGGCUAUCAAUAACACUUUCUUACACCUCAACCCCACAAUGUAGGUUUAUUUACAUUUACGAAUUUUCUGAAAUUCCGGGUGACCGGACCAGUUUAUUCGCUGAAUCGGUAUCUGAACGGGCGUUCUUGAGCAGUAAGCUCUGACACGCAAGUUAAAUUACUACUGCGUUUCAAUCAAAACUUUUUCGACUCGUGUUCAGUUCAAGUGCAACACUACAUGAAAGAACAGCCUAUGUUUAAAAGAAGGAAAAAUAUCUAAAAUAAGGCAUCAUCAAAUGAAGAACAGCUUGUGUUCAAAAGGAAAAAUUUCUUCUGAAAAAUUCAGCAGUUGGUACAGGAAUACGAUGUUGGGGUCAAUAUGACCCAAACAGGCACGCUGAACGUGCAUUACGCCAUCGUGGUGCGAAAAACGUAACAUCCUAGGAGGGUUAAUAAACGUGAAAGAAUAGCCUAUGUUUUAAAGAAAGAAAAAAACAUGAGAAAAAGACACCAGCUAUAACAUUCAAACAUAGUACAAAUACGGAACUUGAAAGAAGAGCCUAUGUUCAAAAGAAGGAAAAAUCAUCGAAAACAAAAAUCACAACCAUAAUGUGCACUGUCAGCACAAAUAACAAACUUGAAAGAACAGCAUAUAAUGAAAAGAAGGUGAAACCUUUGAUGGAAAAACCAGUAUGUGCUACACAAAAACGCAAUGAAAUGGCGAAACUCGAAAGAAGAGCCAAGAUUAAAAGUAAGGAGAAAUCUUCAAUGGAAAAUCAACUACUUCACCAAUGCCAACGAAAACUACAUUGCAAAACGAGUUACCAUAAUAAAAAACACCCUUGAGUGAAAUAUUUGCUUUUUAAUGUUUGAUAUUAUUAACACGAUUAAAUUGCUAUACGACUUAACGUCCAUUCGACCAAACAUACUUUCAACCAAAUAAGUUCAGCAGCAUGAAUUCAUAUACCGAAAUCUAUAAUAUUUUUUUCUACUUUAAUCUCUUUUCAUAGGUUAGUGCCUUCCGACCAGAUGUCCAUUCGACGAAUUGUCCAUUCGACUAAAUGUCAUAUGCUUCCUACUCCAUAAUAUGGGUUUCGACCAAAUGUCCAUUCGACCAAAUGUCCUUUCGACCAAACGUACUUUCGACCAAAUGUCAUUCGACCAAACGUCAUUCGACCAAAUGUCAUUCGACCAAAUGUCCUAAAGCCGAUUUUUGUUUACUAUUUUCAACCAGUAACUCAGGUAGUGUUCGUGUAAUGCAACGUGUACGUACACGCAACACCAUUAAAAGCAGAAACCACUAUGACGAUAAGCUGCCGAGCAAUGCCUUUAAAGCGCGUUUGACAGCUCUUCUGCUCGUUUGGGUUCGUUCGCAUGUUACGUAAGGGUACGUUCAUAAAUUACGUCACGCUUUGAGGGGUGAGGGGGGGGGGGUCAUCAAAAUGUGACAACCCACACAAAAAUUUCAGAGGUCCCAUACAAAAAGUAAUGGGCUUAAGGUUUCAAUGGAAUGAAAUGCUGAGUUUGUUUAAUUAACGAAAGAAACGGAACUUUAUUUAACUACGUCUGUACACUUCGAAUUCAGUUUUACUUCUGACAAAAUGGCGCUCCAUGCGCAAUGAUGCUGCUGUCACUAAAGACCCUCGAGAAAGAGGAUGCAGCAUAAAGAGGCCACCAAAAAAGAGGUGUAGCGUGGCAUGCUCGUUGUAUAUAUCAACACUCCUCCUCAACGAACAUUGCCAGCCUACGAUGACAUUCCCAUCAUGCGUGCUAAUUUCUGCAGCUUGGUCGAACCCACCGGUUUAGUGAGUACAUCAGCCACCAUAUCCUCCGCUGGACAAUACUGCAGCUUCAUACUUUCGUCCUCACACAAUUGCUUCACAAAAUGCUGCUUCACUUCGAUAUGCUUGGAGCGACGGCUCUUCCGAUCCGACUUAACAAAUUGGAUGCAGCUCCGAUUGUCCUCCAUCACCAUGGCUGGACCUUCGACCUGCUCUCCCAUGUCAGCCAACAAGCUCCGCAGCCAUAUUAGCUCCUGGCUAGCUUCGCUCAACGCCACGUACUCCGAUUCCAUCGAAGACAAUGUGACGCAACUUUGCCUCCGACUGACCCACGAUACUGCUCCUCCAGCGUAGUUGAAGACAAAUCCGUUCGUAGACCAACAGAUAUACCAACAGAUACACACGCUUCCCACUAACCACUUUGGUGUGGAGACACGGAUCGGUAGCACUCUGCUCAAAUCCCAUUACAACAAGCACACUAUGCAGUCGUUGAUUCCAGCACCGCGCAGACUGUUUGGAACCAUAAAUGCUCUUCUUCAACCGACACGCCAUGCCCUCCCUACCCUUCACUGCGAAUCCAGGCGGCUGCCUCAUGAAGAUUUCCUCGUCCAAAUCGCCGUACAAGUAUGCCGUUUUCACGUCGAAGUGUUUCAACGUCAUUUUCCGCUUGCUUGCCGCGGCUAACAGCACCCGCAGGGUAGUGUUGCUAGUCACCGGUGCGAAUACCUCGUCGUAAUCAACACCGUACGUCUGAGAGUAAAUAGCCCUGAGCCAGUAGACGUGCCUUGUAUUUUGUGAUCCCGCCGGCCGCAUUCCGCUUCAGCUUAUAGACCCAGCGACAACCAACUACCUCUCGUCCUUCAGGUGGAUCGACGAGCUCCCACGUUCCGUUCUGCUGGUGAGAUUUCAGUUCAUCCACCAUCGCCGCUUUUCACAAAUCCUGCUUUUCACAGGUUACCGCUUCCUUCAAAGUCUUCGGCUCAACUUCGUCCGGAUCCAGCGAUCCCGCAGCAAACAACUCUUCGAUCAAUCGUCGUGGUGGAACUCCCUUCGUGGACCGACUCGAACGACGCGCUAUCUCAUCCAAUGGAAACCCAUGGAAGGAUCCGUCUCCGUCGGAAACACUUUCGAACGAGUCUUUGUGAUCCCUGGCUUCUUCAAACAGCUCGUCGUCUUUUUCAGCCGUAUCCGGCUGGCGCCGCCGCUCAUCUUGAGAUGGCCACGUCACCGGUACUUCCAGUACUCCUCCUGUUUCCAGUUCCUGUUGCUGAACAGCUUCCGUCGUAACGCAUUGCUCCAGAAAUUUGGCGUCCCUACUGAUCGUAAUCAUAUCCGUUCCUGGGUUCAAGAAACGAUACGCCUUCCGACCGUCAGCGUAGGCAACGAACAUCAAAUCUCCCACCGCGCUAGAUUUACUGUCCGAUACUUUUGGGAACGAUUCACGAACCAUUUUCCCCUCACAACACGGACCGCACACCGAUUGCACUUCGCAAGGAUCGAUUUUCAAUCCAUGUCCAAGAUUGUCCCGCACUAUUUUGUCCGCCUGCACAUCACGAUGUCCGAGAUGCCGAUGCCACAGAUGCUUACACAAGGCGGAAUACUUCGGAUUCACAAGAAAUGCCUUUUCCGGAGCCUGCUUCAAGUGGUACAACCCUCCUUAUCGUUGACCAACUAGCACUGAUUCUUCUCCUUUCAGGAUAUAGCACUCCUUUUCUUCGAACAGAACCCGAAAUCCAAAAUCUAUGAAUCUACUCACCGACAGCAGGUUGCCAGCAAGGGACGGCGCGUGCAAAACGUUGUCGAGCCGCACUUUCAGUUUCGCACCAUCCCCGUUGAACGAGACGAGCUUACCCGUACCGCUUCCAGACGAUUUGAUGGAUUUUCCAUCCGCCAGACAAACCGUCGUCGCUUUUGAUUCAUCCACACUUUCCAACAACGACACAUCACUGGUCAUGUGAGCCGCUGCCCCCGAAUCCAGGUACCAGAAACUCGAUCCGUCGGUUCUUCCCGCUGCCAGACACACUUCGAAAUUGGAUUCCGAUUUGACGGCUGUAGUGUCUACCUAAUGAUUGUGAGCAUUCAUUAUGUCUACCUAAGGUAGUAUAAAUACGGGUGGUCAUUGGACCACACAGCAGACACUGCACAAGCCUUGGACUUGUUAACAUCACAGACAAACAGACGUCUCACUCUACUCACUUCUCAUCGUUACCCUUUUUAACUGUUAGUUCAAAUAUUUUGUAGUUCGCAAAUCGCUCGGUCACGGCGCUUGCAUCUGUUUUGCUCCUGUUUGACGUUUGCCCACUACCGCGACCUACUGAGUGGUUUGCGUAACACAGCCUGAUUAGCAUUGGGCGAUUAUGUUUUCGUGACGAUGAUUUUUAUCGCAAUUUGUCCCAAGUGAUACAUUUGUUUGUCUGUGUUAACAUCUUUAAUAUUCUUCUUUUGAAGGAUAUAAAAGUGGCGGCGAGGAUCAAGGAACGUGUAAUUUCUUUUGAGUUAUUCCGAAAUUAUUUCCUUUUGGUUUUCAGGUUGUUGUAAUAACAAAUUGUAAUUUUUGUGGAGAACGGAAUUGUUCUUUUAUGGUAGAAUUGCCAUUAUGUUGUGAACAAAAUGUUCUUUUUGACCGAUGUUGCAUUGACAAAAUUGUCUUUUUGUUUUGGUAAUAACGAAAUGUUAUUUUUUUUGUGGUGUACGAAAUUGUUCUUUUGUGGCGGAAUUGUCAUAUGUUAUGUUUUGGUGAAUGGAUUUGUGUUAUUUGUAAUUUUUUGGUAAAGUUGCCGAUGUUGGGAUAGCGAAAUCGUCUUUUUGUUUUUGUAGUUUUGUUAACGAACAGAUAUGUUCUUUGAAAGUAAUGGACUCGUCAGUUUAUGUGCCAUCAUUAUUUUGUUUCCAGUUCAAAACUGAAUUAGCGUCAUUUUUUCUUUUACUUGCGCUGCUUUUGCCUUGCGUUAAACACAAUGUCGGAAGUGGGACGCUGUAUUGUACACCAGGUAUUCUAUACAGCGACCCACUUCCGACAUAGUGUAUAACGCAAGGCAAAAGCAACGGAAGUAAAAGAAAAAUUGUCGCUAAUUCGGUUUUGAACUGGAAACGCAAUAUUUUGGUUAUUUUUUGAAGUUUUCUAAAGGGAAAAGGACUGUAGUGUCUACCUAAUGGUUGUGCGCAUAGGCUAUCUACCUACAUGAAAUACUAUUCAUUGCAGUACAUACAUAUCUAGGUAUGAUUCAUUAUGUCUACCUUAAGUCUGGUAAGAAAAGCACUCCAGAAAAAAUCCCUCUAAUUACCAAAGGAAUUUUGACAACUAAUUAGUGUGGGAAAAAAUGUCACUUUUCCUUGAGGAAUAAUUGAACGGAAUAUUUUUCCGCAAGGAAAAGUGACAGCUCCAUUCGAUUUGCCCGGCAGGCGUUACGAGCGUUACACAAUUUUCAUUUCUUUCCAGUUGCGGACCGCUCAAGAAAUUUUAACAGCGAAAUCAUUUCUUGACCGUUCCUUGGCCUAUCUUUUUCCACAGUACUUAUGAGGUGCGUACUACCCCUAUGGUAGUAUAAAUACGGGUGGUCAUUGGACCACACAGCAGAUACUGCACAAGCCAUGGACUUGUUAACAUCUCUAAUAUUCUUCUUUUGAAGGAUAUAAAAACGGCCACGUUUGCCUUCGCGCGAUCGCACUUCUCCUUUCCACGCAUGUCCUGGGCAAGCUUUUUGCAAUCACGCCGAAUAUGACCCGUCUAAUGGCACAAACGUUACCUUUUCACUUUCGGUGUGUCUGCACUUUUCCACUUGGUGGAACUCGCCAACGCUUUAUUGUCCCCGCGACACACACUUUCGACACGACGUCGACCCUCAUCAAGCAGCUUACCUUUAACAAAGUCCACUGUAAGAUCUGCAUCCGGGCGACUUUCAAGUGCAACAAUUAAUCCAUCGUACGACCGCGGCAGACUCGACAACAUUAUGCCAGACCAAUUAACGCCUGCGCCUUCUCGUCGUUCGAGAUCCAGGUCGCAUCCGCGGUUGUCGGUUUCGGAUCGGUGACCACUUUCAGCAGCUUCUCCUUCGUCAGGAGCAAACGCAUUUUAAACUUCCAUACCGCGUAAUUCCUGUCGUUUAACUUUUCGAUCGUUGCUUUUGUGUCCGCCAUCUUGUUUUUCUCAAGCACUCCCAACGGCACUCGACACGAAACAAAACGAUUUCACCGGUGCUUCCACGCUACAAAUGUCCACAAAACUCACGCGCUUCCAGCGCUAACUGGGUCAAUAACUUAUUGGGCUUAAGGUUUGAAAUGAUAAUGAAAUGCUGAGUUUGUUUAAUUAACGAAAGAAACGGAACUUUAUUUAACUACGUCUGUACACUUCGAAUUCAGUUUUACUACUUACAAAAUGGCGCUCCUUGCGCAAUGAUGCUGCUGUCACUAAAGACCCUCGAGAAAGAGGAUGCAGCAUAAAGAGGCCACCUAAAAAGAGGUGUAGCGUGGCAUGCUCGUUGUAUAUAUCAACAAAAAGUGUGACAUAGGAGGGAGGGGGGCUGGAAAUGGUCGAUUUUUGCGUGACGUAAUUUAUGGGCGUUUCCUAACGCUAAUAUGGGAGAGGGGGUCUACCGCUGUGUUACGAUCCUUUUAAAGAUUCAAAAUUUACCAUACAAAAGUUGUUACGUGGACGGAGGGGGUCUAACAUGGGUUAGUUUGCGUCUCGGCUUGCGUUACGUAAUAUGCGAAUGAACCCUUUGGAAUGACAUUGACAGUAAAUUUAGAAUACCUAUGGACCACUAUGGACCAUUAGGGUACAGCAAGCACCUGAUCUAACCUCACUUUGUUUGACAGUUCAGGGAGCUGUUUACAAGGGGUUAGAAUUUUGAGUGAGCGAUGAAAAAAAAUCACGUUUUUUGUCCGAAAUCAUUGUGAUAUGUAAAUAUCGACUAUAUUCUACUUCACUAGUACAACAUCAAUCGUCAAAAUCCCGUUUAACUGAGAUUCUAUCGAAAAACAUAUUCGCCGGAUCUCCGCCAGAGACUAAGUCCAGGGAAAGAGCUCGAAGAAUUGUCAGUUCACAGCUUCGUGACGCUAUCUUGUAGUAUCCUAUAAAGCAAACUUUUCUUUCGUUCGCCGCAUGUAAGCGAAGGCGUCACCGUAUGGAUACACAGCCACGGUGCCCCCACAGACCGUUAUUAUAAAAUAAAAAUGUCCAUCAAAACUAAGUACAGGGGUCGAAUCCUGGUGCCAUUCUGCUCCUCUGGGCAAAUUUUUAAAAUAAUCCCUAGGAGGAAUCUCGAGAAAUCUCGAUUUGAUGUUUUAUACUAAGAAAUUUCAAAGAAAUCCAUGUUCAGAUUCAACAAUAUCGCUUAAAUACCUACAAAAAAAGUCCCCAAAGUAUUCAAAGUUGUUUCAAACCAGUAUAUAUUUACCAACACAACUUUUAUUAUACAUAUUUACUACUCACCCAACUCAAUUAACUGACUAAACUGACAGAAGUUUGUUUUUCCAAGCCAUGCAUCGGUUUUAACGUAAGCAUUUAAGGUGACUUGGUGCAUCACAGAAUUUUCAUAGAAAUCAUUGACUUUUUAAUUUUCAAUGAUUGUUUGUCUCGCGUUUUUGAAGUGAUAAAAAACGGGCAAUUUAGCAGUCACGCAGUAGAAAAAGUAUCAUCACACUCACCACGAGUGAGCAUAUGGGAUGAUACAUUUUCAUCCGAAUUUGCGCUUUGGUAACUGAGUUUUAUAACUUUGAAAUUUCGAGCGAGAUUUCAAUGAUGCUGAUGACGCACUACGCGUCGUUAAACGCGAUUUUUCACUAUUGUUUUAUGAACAUAUUACACAUCCCAGUGUUAUACAUUAAAAUUUUCCCCAAUUCUACAACAUGUUUACUAUAUUACGAGGAACCAACUCUCCGAAGACCACAAAGGGAUCUAAGAUAUGUGGAAAAAGUUAUUGACUGAAAACCGAAUAGCAAGGAAACGCUGUUUGACAUGUAAGGAAUAACAAUAAAUAAUCAAAUCUCGUCAUUUUAUCGAUCGGGUAAGGCUUCAUAGCUUUUGCGGUCUUCGGAGGUCUAAUUCAUCGUGAAGUUUGCUACAGAAAUCAUUCAUCGAAUUAUUUUUAGGGACCAAGGGGUGACCCCAAGCGAUUUUUCAUUGAAGAAGUAAAUUUUCUCAUAAAAUCGUCUGAAAAAAUUAGAAUAACGGGCGCAAAAAAAUAGUUUUCCUAAUCGACCUGAUAUUUUGAACAGUUGAUAUGGGACCAAAAUGGAACUCAAAAAGUAAACAAUAACUAGAGUUUUUGCAUUUUUUAUUUUUUCCAAUAUAAACCGUGUCCCAUGUUAUUACAUAGACGUCGUAGUUUCCUGUUCUUCCAAAAUUGGUGUACUAUUAGAUCUUUAUUUAACACAUAUUUCUCAGUAAUUUUCUAGUGUUCAUGUGCAAGAAUAUGUAGCACUUUUCAUUAAAAAAAAUGUUUAAAAUUCUAGGCAAAACAAAUCAAAGAUAAUCGUACACACCGUAGUUGCUACUCCGUGAUUGACUAGAGUUGCACAGAGAACCAAUGAAAGCAAGGCUUGGGACUAGCUAACCAUUCUCAAUGUGCAAAAUUCGAGAGUUCAACAUUUGAAAUUCAAUAACGGCGCUGGCCACGUCCUUACGGUCAUCGGAUCGGUUAUGUGUCAUACUCGCCCCAUAUAGGAGCGAUACAUUUACAGAAAGGAACAAUACAAUUACUAAACACUGAACGCCCCUGUUUAAAAUGCUAAGCAAUAUCGAAAAAAAGUAUAAAUUUGUUUUCGACUAUUGUGACUGAAAACGUUAUUCAUUUUAAGAAAACUGCCUUCAAAGACCUACUCUAGUUUUUCUAACUCUAACGUUGGUAAUCAAAAGCACACGUGACAAGCACUUUUUUUUGCAUAUUUUUUUUCUGAUUUUUGUACACUGCCAAAAGUUUGGUAAGUCACUUUAAUCAGUUAAUUGAUUUAGAUGAGUAGUAAAUAUGUAUAAUUGAAGUAACGUUAUUAAAUAAAUACGGGUUUGAAACAGCUUUGAAAACUUUAGGGAAAGUUUGUGUAGGUAUUUAAGCGAUAUUGUCCAAUCUGAACAUGGAUUUCUUUGAAAUUUCUUAGUAUAAAACAUCAAAUCGAGAUUUCUCGAGAUUCCUCCUAGGGAUUAUUUUAAAAAUUUGCCCAGAGGUGCAGAAUGGCACCAGGAUUCGAUCCCUGAACUAAGUUUUGAUGGACAUUUUUAUUUUAUAAUAACGGUCUGUGGGGGCACCGUGACAGCGUAACAAAAAUUAGCUUUUGGUCUGUCUCAAGAGCAAACCCAACUAACAAUCACUCAUUUUACAAGCACCUUUACGACGAAUUGAUUCAGCAUGAUGCUGAAUAAUAUUUGGAUAAUUUUCAGGCACAACCUUUGUUCGGGUUUUGUUCACACAAAUUUGGAGAAACUGUAAAGCAUAGUGUUGUGUACCAACUAAAAUGUUUGUUGUUAAAUCGUUUUACAAAUAUAUAGUAAAACUGUUAUUCAGCUGUAGCAAAAAUGAUUAAAAAUAAAAAAAUGCAAAAUUUUUCGAUUUCCACGAGAGUUUAUGAUUGGAACUUAAUGCUGUGAACAAAUAUUGUGAAAUAAUAACUACACAUAAAUUUACCUAAAUCCAGAUUCGAACUCGAGACCCGUCGAUUGCCAGCCGCAUGCCUUCCUAUCUGCGCCAUCCUAGAGAUGAUGAAUUGCAGCGCUCAAAUCAAAACAUAAACUUCCCGUGGUUUAAUAAUGAUCAGACUCUGACUCCUAUACAGCAGUGGUGAAUUAGCACAACAUUAUGGUUAACGACUGAACAACAGAUUAAUUCAGCUGUUUUUCGGUAAAAAACACGUGUUUUUCAUCAUGUACUCUGAGUCGAAGUAUGAUGAAACGAAAGCGCUUAUUUGACUUGUGAAAAACACAUUAUUCAGAUACAUGUCCUAUUUUUUACAUGAACUUAACAAAAAGCAGAAAAAAGUCUUGUUAAACUGUGUUGUAAAGGAAUUACUGCGAGUCGAAUAAAAAUCUUAUUAAACGCUUGAAAAGUGUUUUAAAUUAUCGUUAUUGAUACCAAUACGAAAAGUUGAACAUUGGCUACUUUUUCAAUUGAAAAAGCAUUUGCACAGUAAUAUGUACAGCAUAAUUUUAGUUAUUAAGCAUGGAAAUAUUUUUUUUUAAGCAACCAAAAGGUUAAAUGGUCAAUUAACAUCUAAAUUAACGACUUAUGCAAAAUAUUUCGUUUUACCAAAUCGAAUUUGAUAGUUUUAAGGACAAACUUGUUAGAAUCCCAACAUGGCCGCCACAAUGGCCGACUUAGGCACCUACUUACGAUUUUGAGGGCACAAAUCUCUUUGUAAACAAAACCAGCACACCUGAGCUUCUUAUUUUAAGCUUAUUACAAGUGAGCAAGAACAGAAUAAUGAAAUGCAUUGUUGUUUGAAGCUUGCUUCUUGAGAUUUGUGCGUCUGAAGUUUUGAUGCAUUGUUGAACCGGGAUUUAAAGACGUUUGUCCUUAAGCGAUUUAUGUUAUGUACGAUAUUUCCCAUACAAGUCACCCUCCAAAAGUUGCAUGCAAGUUUUCAUACUAACAUAAAAUGCUUAAAUCUGUCAAAUUUGAUUAGGUAAAACGAAAUAUUUUGCAUGAGUCGUUAAUUUAGAUGUUAAUUGACCAAUUAACCUUUUGAUU